AAGGGUUUGAUCCUGGCUCAGGAUGAACGCUGGCGGCGUGCCUAAUACAUGCAAGUCGAGCGAACGGACGAGAAGCUUGCUUCUCUGAUGUUAGCGGCGGACGGGUGAGUAACACGUGGAUAACCUACCUAUAAGACUGGGAUAACUUCGGGAAACCGGAGCUAAUACCGGAUAAUAUUUUGAACCGCAUGGUUCAAAAGUGAAAGACGGUCUUGCUGUCACUUAUAGAUGGAUCCGCGCUGCAUUAGCUAGUUGGUAAGGUAACGGCUUACCAAGGCAACGAUGCAUAGCCGACCUGAGAGGGUGAUCGGCCACACUGGAACUGAGACACGGUCCAGACUCCUACGGGAGGCAGCAGUAGGGAAUCUUCCGCAAUGGGCGAAAGCCUGACGGAGCAACGCCGCGUGAGUGAUGAAGGUCUUCGGAUCGUAAAACUCUGUUAUUAGGGAAGAACAUAUGUGUAAGUAACUGUGCACAUCUUGACGGUACCUAAUCAGAAAGCCA
rnacentral:rRNA from 1 species